CAUAUUUAGUUUGCUGUACCAAGAGCUCAAGCUCAUCUUGUUUAUUUCCCAUGCUUUGCGCAUUAGUGUACAGACAUUGAAGUCCAUUAAUCAUUCCCCCGUGACUCUUAUUUAAGGAUUUUUUCCUCCCACCGCUAGGUCUGUGUGCUGUUUGCUCCAUUUGGUUUAUGACAUUUGGAUGAUCAUCUUCAUCAAUUGAUAGACUCCUACCUUCAGGAGCACGGUCUCCCUCCCCCACAUUAGUCAGUUUAAAGCCCUCCUGAUGAGGUUUCUGAGAUUUUUGGCAAAAACAUUCCUCCCAACCGUUGUGAGGUGCAGCCCAUCGCUUGCCAGAAGUCCAUCUUCAAGAAACUGCAGUCCGUGAUCUAAGAAUCCAAACCGUUCCUGUUUACACCAUUUGCGAAGCCAGCUGUUCACUUCCACUAUUUUCCC
rnacentral:lncRNA from 1 species